rnacentral:rRNA from 1 species
GAUGAACGCUAGCUACAGGCUUAACACAUGCAAGUCGAGGGGAAACGAUAGAGAAAGCUUGCUUUUUCUAGGCGUCGACCGGCGCACGGGUGAGUAACGCGUAUCCAACCUGCCCAUCACUUGGGGAUAACCUUGCGAAAGUAAGACUAAUACCCAAUGACGUCUCUAGAAGACAUCUGAAAGAGAUUAAAGAUUUAUCGGUGAUGGAUGGGGAUGCGUCUGAUUAGCUUGUUGGCGGGGUAACGGCCCACCAAGGCGACGAUCAGUAGGGGUUCUGAGAGGAAGGUCCCCCACAUUGGAAAUGAGACACGGUCCAAACUCCUACGGGAGGCAGCAGUGAGGAAUAUUGGUCAAUGGGCGAGAGCCUGAACCAGCCAAGUAGCGUGCAGGAUGACGGCCCUAUGGGUUGUAAACUGCUUUUAUAAGGGAAUAAAGUGAGUCUCGUGAGACUUUUUGCAUGUACCUUACGAAUAAGGACCGGCUAAUUCCGUGCCAGCAGCCGCCGUAA